ACAGUACAAACUGAUCAGGCCGGGGCGACGCCUAGGGAGCCGGGUUACGAGAGUAACAGUGGAUUCAAAACCCACGGGACAGU
rnacentral:ncRNA from 1 species